ACCGGUAGCUCAGCCUGGUAGAGCACUCGGCUUUUAACCGAGUGGUCGAGGGUUCGAAUCCCUUCCGGU
rnacentral:tRNA from 1 species